UACGGAGGAUCCAAGCGUUAUCCGGAAUCAUUGGGUUUAAAGGGUCCGUAGGCGGCCUUAUAAGUCAGUGGUGAAAUCUCCCGGCUCAACCGGGAAAUUGCCAUUGAUACUGUAGGGCUUGAAUUAUUAGGAAGUAACUAGAAUAUGUAGUGUAGCGGUGAAAUGCUUAGAGAUUACAUGGAAUACCAAUUGCGAAGGCAGGUUACUACUAAUGGAUUGACGCUGAUGGACGAAAGCGUGGGGAGCGAACAGG
rnacentral:rRNA from 1 species